GCUUACGGCCACACCACCCUGAGCGCGCCCGAUCUCGUCUGAUAUCGGAAGCUAAGCAGGGUCGGACCUGGUUAGUACUUGGAUGGGAGACCGCCUGGGAAUACCAGGUGCCGUAAGCU
rnacentral:rRNA from 1 species